UUGCUUACAAGAUUUGUUAUUUCUAUUUCAGAAAUGGCUCUGAGCAACUCAGCUAUUUUAGACAUACUCUAUCUUAUAAGUGAAGAAGAAAACAUCAAAGUUACAGUCAGUGAGAGUGCAAAGGGUGGUCUGAUAACUGGUAUCUCAACUGCUAUUGGUGGAGUAUUACUAGGGCCCCCAGGUCUUGCUCUUGGUGGUACAGCUGGGGGACUUGUAGCUUAUGGAGUAUCUGGUAAUUUUAAAUCUGCUUCAGAAAUCCUUCAUGAACUUCCUGAAGAUAAAAAACGAUUACUGUGCAAAAAGAUGAAGGAUAUCUUAAAACACAUUGGUAUAUCAGCUUCUCCGCAGCUCUUGAGCUACAUUAGAUCAGAUCAACAUCUCUACAAAAAUGUUGUGGAGGGCUUGAAAUCAUUUUUCACAGAUGACCUUCAAAUGACUUUAAACAAAUAAUGUAUGAUUACUUACAAAAUCUCUUGAUAUAUUAAAAUAACAUUUUGAAACAACAUAAUUUUUUUCUAAGAAUUCUAUCUAUUAGUUUGUUUGGUAAAUAAUGGCCUAUUUUUGAAAUAUUUGAAAAACUGAACAUAUGCAAAGGUUUAACUAUUCUAAAUAUGAUCCCUGAAAGGUUAUGCAUUUCAAGGUCAUUUAUGCCUCUUCAAUAAAAACCCAAAGAUUUUGAUGCCAAGAAAUCCUUAGAAAUAAUAAUAAACAUUUACAAAUAUU